AUUUGAUUUAACUUGAUUAUGACAGAGUUCUGCAACCACUCAGAGGAUCAAAACAACUUGCACUUGAAGAAAUAUGGAAAACUGACAACUUGUACUGGUUGCCGAACACAGUGCAGGUUUUUUGAUAUGACUCAGUGUAUAGGUCCUAAUGGAUAUAUGGAGCCAUAUUGUUCAACUGCUUGUAUGAACAGUCACAAGACAAAAUAUGCAAAAUCACAAAGUUUGGGAAUUAUUUGCCAUUUUUGUAAGCGAAACUCUUUACCUCAAUACCAAGCCACAAUGCCUGAUGGAAAACUGUAUAACUUUUGCAAUUCCAGUUGUGUGGCUAAAUUUCAGGGUAUUACCCAAAGGUUCAAACCCGUGCAUAAAGCCAUGCUUCAUGAGUUAAUUCAUCCAACAAUUCUGCUUUGUUCCAGGCUCUAAGUAUGCAGUCAUCUCCAAAUGGCCAGUUUGUAGCGCCAAGUGAUAUUCAGUUGA
rnacentral:sRNA from 1 species